rnacentral:lncRNA from 1 species
AUCAUUAAGAAAAAGGAACAUUUUGUCAGCAGUAAGUUUUAAGAAUUUGACAAUUAAUGAAAAUAUUGAAACUUGGAGGAAGACUCAGUUCUUUAUCCACUUAGAUUUUUUGUGGCUGUAAACUCUAAAAAUAGAUGAUUCUGAUACCAUAAAUAUAUUUUUCUAAAUAAUUGAAUAGGCAAAUCCAGAAUUUGGUAUUUCAAUUUAUUAUUAAGUAAUAUGAGACUAAGUUCUUUUUGCUUUCUGUACUAAUUUCUAUUUAUAGAAUAUUUAAACAUCAUUUAAUAGCCUUCUGAAAUGUGGAUUACCUCCCUAAUUGACACUUUCAAAAAUUUUGUUUUCUACUUUUUAAAUGUAUGUGAUUCAAAUAUAGUUUUCAGAUUUAAGUAAUUUUGUGACAUUUUAGGCAUUUUGGUGGCCUAUGUAGGCUUUGAAAUAAUGCUGUUAAGGAUGGAGCAAAGUCUGCUCCAUGCAUUGAAAAGCAAAAUCUCUGAACAUUUAGGGAAAUAAUAGUUUCAAAGCCCAUGCAUUUUUUUUUUUUUUUGUAAAAGAAGGCAUUAUAACCAUUUUUACUUUUUUUGAAAAAAAAUUUAAUACACUAUUUUGAGAGAAUGUUGAUGGUAAGUUGAUUAAAUAAACUUGGUCUUCCGCUUUUUCUGACAGCACUCAACUCUUCUUGCAUAGUACACUAGAAACACUGUACUCCCAGAAGCUGACACAGUAUAACAAUGACCCUGUACCCUUUGGUUACCUCUAGAGUAUGAUCUUUUGUAGAACUGUACAGUAAGUGAACUAGGUCAAUGAAGCCAUGCAAAAUUAUUUUCAAUAAAUUGCUUACUAUGACAGGGAUAGUUCUUUUGUUACCAUACAAACAUCAAGAAAUAAGUGUGUAGAAAUUUUUCAUCAAAAUUCAUCAAACUUGAAACAUUUGUUUGAGAUUGUCUAACAAAAUAUAAGCUGUGUGGUAUAAACAAAACUUGCUGUGGGAACUUAAGGAACUUAUCUCACAGAUCUUUUAAAUGACCAUACCAGAGAAGUUCUUACAACUCUUGAUCAGGAGAGACAGGCAUAUGUAGUAAGACAGUGUGCAAGAAGAAAACAGUGGUAAAUUCAAGUGCCCAAUCAAAAUGUCCCAAGGAUGGCCCUGCCAGGUUAUAGAACUUGAUUUGCUACCCAGCUUUUUCUCAUAAUAGCAUGCUCCAGAGUGAGUAGCAGUAAGGAUUUACUCACUUGAUGAUGGUUAAUGAUUCUCUGGGACAAGUUUGGGAAGACCAGCUAAUAUUUAAAAUAUUUUAGAAAGCUUGCCAAAAGUGAUUAGAGUCAAAAUAGUUUAGGCAGUUAUUAAGUGAAGCGUCACUAAAAACUGCAUUCAUCUGUAACAUCUUAUUUGUUUCUAGUAAGAGAUGAAUGAGAAAUUCUUUGUCAUAAAAUGUGAUAGGUCAUUCAGAAGGACUUAUUUAUUGCUAUUUUUAAGAAGUAUUUAUGGGUCCAGUUAUCAACUAAUUGCCAUGAAAAUUUUCCUUAAAUAUUUUAAAUGAUGAAUAAGAAGUACUGUGUUUUAAUUAUCUGGAAAUGUCUUCCUAACAUCUAGUUCCCUAAUGUUUCCAGAUGACUGAGAUGUUGUUAUGUCUUUUCAGCAUGAGGGAUCUGUGUGUCUGUUGUUAAAUUUGUUUUUUUUUGUUUGUUUUUUGUCUUUUGUCUUUUGUCACUUCAGGGCCGCUUAUGUGGCAUAUGGAGGUUCCCAGGCUAGGGGUCCAACCAGAGCUACAGCUGCCGGCCUACACCACAGCCACAGCAAUGCCAGAUCCGAGCCGCAUCUGCAACCUACACCACAGCUCAUGGCAACGCCUGAUCCUUAACCCACCGAGCGAGUUCAGGGAUCGAACCCGCAACCUCAUGGUUCCUAGUAGGAUUCGUUUUUUCACUGCACCACAAUAGGAACUCCAGUGUUAACUGUUUAUGAUAAAUGACCCUUAUAUUAUUUUGGAGGCAAGAGGUUGGAAGUCAGACUUAAGCUAUGAUUCCACUUAUGUGACCUCUCCAACGUUCUUUCCUCACUAGCAAAAUGGGAAUAAUUAUGCUUGCCACGUAGAUCUCUUAUGGGAAUCAAAUGAGUUAAUCCACUGAGCACAAUGCCUGGCACAUUGAAAUUUCUCAAUAAAUAAUCAAAACUAUUAGAAGAUUACAAAAAGAGAAUUUCUUAUAUACUGUGGUUGUUUUUUAGGAUCUGCUCCUUCGUGUUUUUACUUUUUUAGAGAUUAAAUCUAAUUAGUCUGUUCAAAAACUGGAAUGAAAGUAAAAUAUACAUAGACAAUGCAUAAAUUAUCCUCUGUUGCUUUUACCUCUUAUUGUAAACAAAAGUUCUCUAGACUUUCAUUAGGAAUGGAUCUUCAGUGAAGUAUAUCCAUAUGGCAAUUCUAAAAUGUAAAAAUGAGCUGCCUUUUUCGUAUUGAAUAAGCAUAAAAAUCAAAUUAUGUUGCUCAAAAAAGAAUACUCAUACAUCUUUUCCCAUCUUGCAUAACACAAAAAUAGCUAACUGCUUUUGCUCAUAAAAAUCAUAUUUGGAGGGUGACUAAGCACGAGACAGUUCCCAAACAAAUCUUUGAGAAAGUUAUGCAGGAAUGAAAGUGAGAUUUCAGUUGUAAUCAGUCUCCUCAUCUAGGUUAGUUCAGUGAAGGUAGACUGGUAAAUUUUUUAAAUCAUCAAUUAGUCUUACAUCAUUUUUCAACAUAUUUUGGAUAUCACUGAAAUAUUAAAAUCUAAUGUCAUUUCUUUUUAACUGGAAUGUGGUUUUGUGGGCUAUAGCUACUAUGUACUUCUUUCUUUUACAGGCACAUGCAUACAUUUACAUAAGUAUUUGUUCAUUUACAUAAAAUGCAUGAAGUAGUGAAGACUUAUCUGAAGGAUGACUUAGUAAUGUAGCAUGUCUUAUGUAUUCAUGUACUAUCCUUGCUACAUAAAAAUAAUUAGAUGGUCCAUGAUUAACAACAAUUUUUUAAUUGGAAAGUGGGGAUAUUGAUGGCACUAUACCAAAAUGUUAAUUAAAAAAAAAUUUGCAGUCUCAGAAUACAUAAUUUGGAGGGAUUAUGCAAUCACAUAUAAAGGAAAUUUAAAAGUUUUACCUCUGCUAUUCCUGAGGUCCAAGAGUAGUUUCAUUUAUUUCUUCAUCUUUUAAAGGAUCAUACAUACCAUAUUUUUAGAAAAAUCUUUCCGUAAGUUUUCCUUGGGGUAACUAAAUGUUGUUUAGGGUAGAGUAAUUAAAUGAAAUUUAGUUUCUUGUUUCAUAUUUCAAGCGAUUUGUUUUUGCAGUUUACCUUAUAAACCUUUUAUUUACAGUUUAUACUAUUCCAAGUAAGUUAUUCUGAGUAAAAUAUUGAGGUAUGAAUUUGCCCUUGUUUAUCCUCAGUUUUUAAUUUUUGUUUGGAUAAGCUUUCCUUACUGUGACAUUUCUGCCUUUACUUUGUUUUAUUCUUUGUUUUUCUUUUCAUUUUGGUUGUCAAAUAUAGAAAAUAAUAUGUUUAAGUAAAACCAUGAUAUUUCCAGAAAAAAAAAGGCAAGUUAAACAUACUAUUUUUAACUUAUUUUGAAAAGAAAAAUAAUUGUCCCAAAAUUCACAUUGAAUUAAGAAAAUGUAUUUGUUGAGCAAGGGUAAUGAGAGGGGAGGUAUCCAAAUUGCCAUGAAUGUCUAAAGAAAAUAUUUCUCAGAGUUCCGGUCAUGGCUCAGUCGUUAACGAAUCCCUCUAGGAACCAUGAGGUUGCUGGUUCGAUCCCUGGCCUUGCUCAGUGGGUUAAGGAUCCCGCUUUGCCGUGAGCCGUGGUGUAGGUUGCAGAUGCGGCUGGGAUCCCGCAUUGCUGUGGCUCUGGCAUAGGCCGGCAGCUACAGCUCUGAUUCGACCCCUAGCCUGGGAACCUCCAUAUGCCG